rnacentral:tRNA from 1 species
CAUUAAGAAGCUUUCAUAAAGCAAUAGCCUUUUAAGCUAGAGUUCGGUGUUUAUAAUCACCCUUAAUGA